UCUAUGGAUAAAUUGUUCAGUGCAUUCUUAAGAUGGGAGAGACUCGUGGCGGAGUCUUGCAUUAGGAGGCAGAGCUUGUUACUCCGUCAAGCAUGACUUGCCCAUAUUAUCAUAAUCAUGUUUAUGACUCACAAAUAUUAUGUGCAGGUCAUGCUUGGUGUCGUACGUGCUCUACUUCUCAUGCCAGACCCUUCAUGAUCGUUUAUUCAUAGAGCAAUAAUUUCUUCGUAAUAGUAUUCAGAAUAUCAUAUAUCGAAAUUUUCAUAAGGUAGCAGGAGCAUUGUCCUAUUAUCAAAAGGAUUGAUAUUGAUAUGGAAUUCACAAUCUAUCUAUGAUUGUCAUAGUGGAUGAAGCAUAUUCAUUAGAUGAAUCUGAGGGGAGUAAAGAACAAAUUAAAUAGAGCUAUUGCAAUGUAUGAGGUGCAAUAACUGUAAUUCCUCGGAUUUUCAUGGUGAAUGAAGCACGGCCAUUACAUGAAUGUGAAGCUACCAUGGAUUGCAAGAGUAGUCAAUUACUUUGACGGAAUAAAUAAACAUUUAAAUAGGGCUUUUGGAAUGUAGAAGGAUAAUAGCUAAAAGACUGUAAAAUUAAAUACAUUUUGUUUCUGUUUUUUA